UACGGAGGGUGCAAGCGUUGUCCGGAAUCAUUGGGCGUAAAGAGUUCGUAGGCGGCACGUAAAGUCUGGUGUUAAAGGCAGAGGCUCAACUUCUGUACGGCACUGGAUACUUGCGAGCUAGAAUGCGGUAGAGGUAAAGGGAAUUCCUGGUGUAGCGGUGAAAUGCUUAGAUAUAACUUAGAACCCCGAUAGCGAAGGCAGCUUACCAGACUGUUACUGACGCUGAAGCACGAGAGCGUGGGUAGCGAACAGG
rnacentral:rRNA from 1 species